GUGCCUACGGGGCGCAGCAGUGGGGAAUAUUGCACAAUGGGGGAAACCCUGAUGCAGCGACGCCGCGUGAGCGAUGAAGUAUCUCGGUAUGUAAAGCUCUAUCAGCAGGGAAGAAAGUGACAGUACCUGACUAAGAAGCCCCGGCUAACUACGUGCCAGCAGCCGCGGUAAUACGUAGGGGGCAAGCGUUAUCCGGAUUUACUGGGUGUAAAGGGAGCGUAGACGGCAGGGCAAGUCUGGAGUGAAAGCCCGGGGCCCAACCCCGGGACUGCUUUGGAAACUGCCAUGCUAGAGUGCUGGAGAGG
rnacentral:rRNA from 1 species